rnacentral:misc_RNA from 1 species
GAAAUGCGAUAAUUAAUGUGAAUUGCAGAAUUCAGUGAAUCAUCGAGUCUUUGAACGCACAUUGCGCCCCCUGGUAUUCCGGGGGGCAUGUCUGUCCGAGCGUCAUUGCUGCCCUCAAGCACGGCUUGUGUGUUGGGCUUCCGUCCCUGGCAACGGGGACGGGCCCAAAAGGCAGUGGCGGCACCAUGUCUGGUCCUCGAGCGUAUGGGGCUUUUUCACCCGCUCCCGUAGGUCCAGCUGGCAGCUAGCCUCGCAACCAAUCUUUUUAACCAGGUUGACCUCGGAUCAGGUAGGGAUACCCGCUGAACUUAAGC